rnacentral:rRNA from 1 species
GACAGAGGAUGCAAGCGUUAUCCGGAAUGAUUGGGCGUAAAGCGUCUGUAGGUGGCUUUUAAGUCCGCCGUCAAAUCCCAGGGCUCAACCCUGGACAGGCGGUGGAAACUACCAAGCUGGAGUACGGUAGGGCAGAGGGAAUUCCGGUGGAGCGGUGAAAUGCGUAGAGAUCGGAAAGAACACCAACGGCGAAGCACUCUGCUGGCCGACACUGACACUGAGAGACGAAGCUAGGGAGCGAAUGG